rnacentral:rRNA from 1 species
GUGCCAGCAGCCGCGGUAAGACGUAGGGGGCCAGCGUUGUUCGGAAUUACUGGGUGUAAAGGGUUCGUAGGCGGUGCGGCAAGUCGGGAGUGAAAUCUCUGGGCUCAACCCAGAGGCUGCUUCCGAAACUGCUGUGCUUGAGUGUGAGAGAGGCUCGUGGAAUUGCAGGUGUAGCGGUGAAAUGCGUAGAUAUCUGCAGGAACACCCGUGGCGAAAGCGGCGAGCUGGAUCACUACUGACGCUGAGGAACGAAAGCUAGGGGAGCAAACAGGAUUAGAUACCCUGGUAGUCCUAGCCCUAAACGAUCAGGACUUGGGGUGCCGCCCGUUCGGGCGUCGUCCCGGAGCUAACGCGUUAAGUCCUGCACCUGGGGAGUACGGUCGCAAGACUGAA